rnacentral:tRNA from 1 species
GCCUCCGUAGUGUAGUGGUCGACACUCUCAACGCGUAUUCGAGAGGUCCGUGGUUCGAGCCCCGGCGAGGGCA